rnacentral:rRNA from 1 species
AUGCAGGUCGGUGACAGAUUUAGUAGCAGACAUGGACAAAAAGGUGUUUGUGGUACCAUUCUUCAGCAGGAAGAUUUCUCCUUCUCUGAGAGAGGAAUAUGCCCUGAUUUAAUUAUGAAUCCCCAUGGAUUUCCAAGUCGUAUGACGGUAGGAAAAAUGCUUGAACUUCUUGGGGGAAAAGCUGGUGCAUCAGGUGGGCAAUUUCAUUAUGGCAGUGCAUUUGGUGAACCAAGUGGUAAUGCUAAUAAAGUUGAAGACAUGAGCUAUACUCUUGUCAAGCACGGCUUCAACUAUCAUGGAAAAGAUUUAUUGUACUCAGGCACUUUAGGCCACCCACUUCAGGCAUAUAUCUUCAUGGGGCCAAUCUACUAUCAGAAACUGAAGCACAUGGUUCUUGAUAAGAUGCAUGCUCGAGCUAGUGGACCACGAGUUGCUUUGACCAGGCAACCUACUGGAGGGCAAAACAGCAAUGGAGGACUGCGUCUUGGUGAGAUGGAGCGUGAUUGUUUAAUUGCUCAUGGUGCCAGUAUGGUGAUAUUUGAACGUCUAUUACUGUCGAGUGACCCAUAUCAAGCGCAGGUUUGCAGAAAAUGUGGUUUAUUAGGCUACUACAACCAGAGACUCGAGACCUCCUUCUGUUCAUUUUGCAAAAGCGGAGAAAAUAUGCAGCAACUGAUGAUGCCAUAUGCUUGCAAGCUAUUGUUUCAGGAACUGACAGCGAUGAACGUCGUUCCAAGGUUAAAGCUAACCGAAGGAUAA